CUUUCUGUAGCUCAGUUGGUUAGAGCGCUGCACUGUAUAAUUGCAGGGUCCAGGUUCGAUUCCUGCAAAGG
rnacentral:tRNA from 1 species